UACGUAGGGUGCGAGCGUUGUCCGGAAUUAUUGGGCGUAAAGAGCUCGUAGGCGGUCUGUCGCGUCGAUCGUGAAAACUUGGGGCUUAACCCUGAGCUUGCGGUCGAUACGGGCAUGACUGGAGUUCGGCAGGGGAGACUGGAAUUCCUGGUGUAGCGGUGAAAUGCGCAGAUAUCAGGAAGAACACCUAUGGCGAAGGCAGCUCUCUGGGACGGUACUGACGCUGAUGCACGAAAGCUAGGGGAGCAAACAGG
rnacentral:rRNA from 1 species